ensembl:lncRNA
CCACAAAGAAGGUGCCAACUGUCCAGUUUUCCACUGCUUUGCUCAGGAGCCCGACCCCCUGUGCCAAGACCUUGCUGAUGUUUGUACAAGCAAAACUGGACUGAUCCUCCCUUACCUGCUUGUGUUUCCUGAGCCAUAAUCCUGUGCUUCAAACAAAAAAAAAGGGAGAAAGUUCACGGAAUGGAAAAACGUUUGGAGAAGAGUGAACACUCUCCCCUUUGCCGGAAGAGAGUCUGAGAAGCGGUCUCAGACCUCAUCUGCAGGGAGGCAGCUCAGGAAGGUGCGCAGUGGCACGGCGAGUGCAGGCAGGGGAGGCAAGGUGAACGCGGGUGCCUACAAGGGACACUGUCUCUUCAUCUCCC